rnacentral:lncRNA from 1 species
UGCCACCUGCCGGAAAUGACCUCUCCUCCUUUCACUUUUCCCCCUGGCUCCUCAGCUGCAGUCUCUCCGGCCUCCUCGCUGUUCCUGGGAUACGCCACACUCAGUCCGGCCUCGGGGCCUUUGCACUGGCUGUGUCCCCUGCCUGUGAUGUCGUUCUUCUCUGCCUGGUCAACUCCUACCUUUGUUCAAGUCUGGACCCUGUCAUCGGCUCCUCAGGAAGGCACUCCGGGACCCCCAGAUGGGGGCCGUUCCCUGUGACUCCUGGCACGGAGCCCAACCCCUUCCUUGUUCAAUGGUUCCUUGAGGGACCAUUCCCAUGUGAUUAUCGACCAUUUGGCAGGCAUUGUUCAAAGUCAGAGGCCCCACACUAAGUCCUGGCCCAGUGCCCUGCGCCUGUUCGUUGCUGGAGGGACAGACAGGGGGCGUGCGGCUGACCAUCCCGUGCCCGCAGGCUGAGGAUGCAGCGCUGGAAGGCGGCGGCCUUGGCCUCAGUGCUCUGCAGCUCCGUGCUGUCCAUCUGGAUGUGUCGAGAGGGCCUGCUUCUCAGCCACCGCCUCGGACCCGCACUGGUCCCGCUGCGCCGCCUGCCUCGAACCCUGGACACCCGGAUUGCCCGCCUGGCCCAGUACCGUGCACUGCUGCAGGGCGCCCCGGAUGCGGUGGAGCUGCGCGAGCUGACGCCCUGGGCUGGGCGACCCCCAGGUCCGCGCCGUCGGGCGGGGCCCCGGCGGCGGCGCG